GUAUGGGUGGUGUAGCGGUAGCACCCAAACCUUUCACCCGGUGAAAGGUUGGAUCCGGGGUUCGACUCUCCGCCCAUGCG